rnacentral:rRNA from 1 species
CCUACGGGAGGCAGCAGUAAGGAAUAUUGGUCAAUGGAGGCAACUCUGAACCAGCCAUGCCGCGUGCAGGAAGACUGCCCUAUGGGUUGUAAACUGCUUUUAUACGGGAAUAAACCUUGAUUCGUGAAUCGAGCUGAAUGUACCGUAAGAAUAAGGAUCGGCUAACUCCGUGCCAGCAGCCGCGGUAAUACGGAGGAUCCAAGCGUUAUCCGGAUUUAUUGGGUUUAAAGGGAGCGUAGGCGGCCUAUUAAGUCAGGGGUGAAAGACGGUGGCUCAACCAUCGCAGUGCCUUUGAUACUGGUAGGCUUGAAUGUAGUUGAGGUAGGCGGAAUGUGACAAGUAGCGGUGAAAUGCAUAGAUAUGUCACAGAACACCGAUUGCGAAGGCAGCUUACUAAGCUAUGAUUGACGCUGAGGCUCGAAAGCGUGGGGAUCAAACAGGAUUAGAUACCCUGGUAGUCCACGCCCUAAACCGAUGAUAACUCGAUGUUGGCGAUAUACAGUCAGCGUCCGACGACGAAAGACGUUAAGUUAGUUACCGUAACCGUCGGGGUAGGUUACGGCCCGCCGACGGGUUAGGUAAACGUUAAACGUUAGUUAGUUAGUUACGGGCGUUGAGACGUUGCCGACGGACGACCGACGAGGGGAGGUUAGGAG